rnacentral:rRNA from 1 species
AGAGUUUGAUCCUGGCUCAGGAUGAACGCUAGCUACAGGCUUAACACAUGCAAGGUCGGGGGAAACGACAUCGAAAGCUUGCUUUUGAUGGGCGUCGACCGGCGCACGGGUGAGUAACGCAUAUCCAACCUGCCCACCACUUGGGGAUAACCUUGCGAAAGUAAGACUAAUACCCAAUGACGUCUCUAGAAGACAUCUGAAGGAGAUUAAAGAUUUAUCGGUGAUGGAUGGGGAUGCGUCUGAUUAGCUUGUUGGCGGGUAACGGCCCACCAAGGCGACGAUCAGUAGGGGUUCUGAGAGGAAGGUCCCCCACAUUGGAACUGAGACACGGUCCAAACUCCUACGGGAGGCA